CCCUUAGAUGUUCUCGGCCGCACACGCGCUACACUUAAAGAGGCAACGUGUUUGCCUGAUUCGAAAGAAUUGGGUAACCCCCUAAUCUCUUUCGUGCUGGGGAUUGAGGUUUGCAAUUAUCCUUCAUGAACGAGGAAUUCCCAGUAAGUGCGAGUCAUUAUCUCGCGCUGACUACGUCCCUGCCCUUUGUACACACCGCCCGUCGCUACUACCGAUUGAAUGAUUUAGUGAGGACUUCGGACUGAGUCCAAUGCGGCUUUCGGGCUGCGUUGGUAUUUCGGAAAGAUGUCCAAACUGUAUCAUUUAGAGGAAGUAAAAGUCGUAACA
rnacentral:rRNA from 1 species